CCCAAGUUUCCUAAAGCUUGAAACUGCAAGUUCCCCAAAGUCCGAGACCCCAAGUUCUCCAAAGCCCUAGAUUCCUAAUUUCUCAAAGCCAGAAAUACCUAAUUUCUCAAAACUCGAGACCUCUAAUUUUUCAAAGACAGAGAUUCCAGCAGCCCGGAAUCCUGAGAUUCCUAGUGUCUCUAAGCCUGAAAUGCCAUGUUCGCCAAAUCGUGAGCUACCAACUACCCCAAAAUCUG
rnacentral:lncRNA from 1 species